GAGUCUUUUGUCUGUCACAAUUGGAUGUUGAUACUAGAUCGAUAUUCAUAUUUUAAUAAAUCAAUAGGACACCAGAGGGAUGCUUUACCUUGAGGGAGGGAGUGUCCGUGCAUAUCCAGGGUAACUGGAGACACGAACACACCCAGUGGAAUUCCAGCUCCAUACACCUGUGCUUUCUGUCUGUCAGGAACAACAGUUGUUAUAGAGUGCUGCGCCUCAAAUUUUCACACAGAGCCUCUGGACAUUGAAUCAGGAGACAAUGACAUGGAUGUUCUCCCAGCCUGGAGAAGCUCUGCCACCCCGUCCUCAGGAGCUUCCCCUCUGGAAGUGUGCCUUAAGCCACUCUGGGAAGAUGAGAAAAUGAAAAUCUUUUAUCAGAAAUGCCCACAGUGCCAUGGCAGCAUUAACACUUGUGGGACAUGACCUGAAUUUAUUCUGUGUUUUUCACCUGCAGACCACUGGCCUACAAAAUAUGGGGCGAGGUUUGCUUAGCAGAAACCUCUAUAAGGACAUGUUGUAGGACUCCUGCCAGCAGCUCCACUCUCCUGCAUCAUCCUGCCUCAAAUGGAGCUUAAAAUCUGCCAGAAGUGCUGGUAACCAGAAAAGAGAUGAGGAUCUUCACAACUUCCACGGAAUGGGGAAGCUGUAGAUUUCAGAGAAAACCAUGUUCCCUGAAGUGAAGGAGGAGGAGCAGUGAGGAGCUGAAGGAGGGAGGUUGGGUAAGAGCUGCAUCUCUGCCCCUGCUUAGCACUGCCUAAACCAUGGUUAGCAACGCUACAGGUAAGACUGACUGACAGUGAGGAAGGACUACCUGGGGGUUUAGUUCUGCCAUACUCCAGGUCUUCUGCUAUUUCUGAUCUUUUUAAAGCAGGAAUUACUUGAGGUUUGUAGCUUUAUGUGCAGUUUGGGAUGUGUGGUGCAAUUCCAUCAUGUUUUGGCUGUGGAGCAGGAGGCCCGUACCUCUGACAGAAAGAUGGGGAAGAAAUUUUCUUCUGGGGAGCCUGAGAUACGUCCUGAUGCUUAGCAGAGUGUUUUAGAAGUAAAACAUCAAGCUAUAAACCAUCUUCUCUCUGUUCAUCUGUGAAUACUUGUAUGGAAGACAACUUCUCUGGUUAUCCACAGCCGUGAAAGCAGUAAUUGCACUUGUGGGUUGCUAAUUCCCAGUUUUUUUCCUGGGAAAUCUGCAGCAAAAAGCAGCAGGCCCACAAGGGGCAGGAGUUAAAGCAGUUAAGACCAUGAACAUGUGUGGUAGAUAGAUUUGUCUGCUGCAGUUUUGGGAUUGAGCAAGAAGUGCUGGGGAGAAAUGGGAGCAGAAGAGGCUGACCUGGGAAUGUUGUGAACAUGCAGCAUAACCAGCACCUCUCACUUCAGAAAAGCUGCAGGCUUUUGAGUUGGGUGCUGGGUGGACUUGGUGAUGAGGUAGAAACAUCAAAUACUGCAUGGAAGAUGCUGCUGCUGCUCUGACUGCCAGAAGUGUGGGUUUGGAUUUUAAAUAACGUAGCCUUGAUUUGCAGAGCAGUUACCUUGUCCUUAUUAGGGAAAGCAGGAGAGGUGAUACAG